rnacentral:tRNA from 1 species
GCCUGGGUGGCUCAGUCGGUUGAGCCUCCGACUUCAGCUCAGGUCAUGAUCUCGCGGUUCGUGGGUUCGAGCCCCACGUCGGGCU